rnacentral:rRNA from 1 species
UACGGAGGGUGCAAGCGUUGUCCGGAAUCACUGGGCGUAAAGAGCGCGUAGGCGGUCCGGUAAGUCCGCUCUGAAAGUCCGGGGCUCAACCCCGGGAGGCGGGCGGAUACUGUCGGGCUAGAGUCCGGAAGAGGCGAGUGGAAUUCCUGGUGUAGCGGUGAAAUGCGCAGAUAUCAGGAGGAACACCGAUGGCGAAGGCAGCUCGCUGGGACGGUACUGACGCUGAGGCGCGAAAGCGUGGGGAGCAAACAGG